rnacentral:rRNA from 1 species
GCGGUAGGCUUAACACAUGCAAGUCGAGCGGAAACGAUGAUAGCUUGCUAUCAGGCGUCGAGCGGCGGACGGGUGAGUAACGCGUAGGAAUCUGCCUAGUAGUGGGGGACAACCUGUGGAAACGCAGGCUAAUACCGCAUAACCCCUACGGGGGAAAGGAGGGGAUCUUCGGACCUUUCGCUAUUAGAUGAGCCUGCGUGAGAUUAGCUAGUUGGUGAGGUAAAGGCUCACCAAGGCGACGAUCUCUAGCUGGUCUGAGAGGAUGAUCAGCCACACUGGGACUGAGACACCGCCCAGACUCCUACGGGGAGGCAGCCUUUUGGGAAAUAUUUGAACAAUUGGC